rnacentral:rRNA from 1 species
AUGUUGAUGCAAGACUACUUCGCGGACAAUCCAACAUAUCCGCCACACCUCUUCCGGAGAAGGUACCGAAUGCGCCGAUCCCUCUUUGUGAAAAUAGUUCAAGCUUGCAAGGCCAACUGUCGGUAUUUUACUCAAAGAAGAAAUGUCGCGGGCUUGAAGGGAUUUAGUGCAUAUCAAAAAUCUCGGCAGCUAUGCGGGCAAUUGCAUACGGCAUUCCGGCUGACUAUGUCGAUGAGUACUUUCGCAUUGGUGAAGAUACUACAAUUGAGUCAGUGCGUAGGUUUGCCAAAGUGA